UUAUUUGGGACAUUUGCAAAACAACUAGUAUCCUGAAAGAGGAACGCAUUGAGGAGUGCAAUCUCUAGGAUGCAUCCUAUAGGACACACCUGACAAAGAGACAGAGCUGAAUUAAUGAGUAGUAACGCUGUUCUUGAACAUUUGAUUUAGCUUAUGUUUUCUAGCCUUCCUUUCAAAAGGGUGAAUUUUGCUUGCCAUUCUUCCUCCAUGAACUCAUUCAUGGAAGCACGCAUUCUUGAAAAGACUCUCGUCUCCUUGUCUUCAGAUUGAGUGCUGUCCAAAAAGAUACAGAAACAAAGCAGAUGAUAAGAAGCAAAUAUGACUGCAGAGAAAAUAAAUUGGAGAGAACAAAAGGCUGCCAUUUGUAUGCCAUUAAUACUCACCAUGGCAGUGAACUGAGGAUUGUUGUGGCUAUUGGGAGCAAACUACUUCUUAUCACAAAGAAAUACAAUCCAUGCAACAGUUUAGCCAGCAGCUCUCUGCUGUCAUUACCUGAAUCUCCAGUAGACGAGUUCCAGUACA